ensembl:snRNA U6 U6 spliceosomal RNA
GUGCUCACUGUGGCAGCACAUAUACUAAAAUUGGAGUGAUACAGAGAUUAGCAUGGCCCCUGCACAAGGAUGACAUGCGAACACAUGAAGUGGUUCAUGUCUUU